ACGAACGCUGGCGGCGUGCUUAACACAUGCAAGUCGAACGGAAAGGCCCUGCUUUUGUGGGGUGCUCGAGUGGCGAACGGGUGAGUAACACGUGAGUAACCUGCCCUUGACUUUGGGAUAACUUCAGGAAACUGGGGCUAAUACCGGAUAGGAGCUCCUGCUGCAUGGUGGGGGUUGGAAAGUUUCGGCGGUUGGGGAUGGACUCGCGGCUUAUCAGCUUGUUGGUGGGGUAGUGGCUUACCAAGGCUUUGACGGGUAGCCGGCCUGAGAGGGUGACCGGCCACAUUGGGACUGAGAUACGGCCCAGACUUCUACGGGAGGCAGCAGUGGGGAAUAUUGCACAAUGGGCGGAAGCCUGAUGCAGCAACGCCGCGUGCGGGAUGACGGCCUUCGGGUUGUAAACCGCUUUCGCCUGUGACGAAGCGUGAGUGACGGUAAUGGGUAAAGAAGCACCGGCUAACUACGUG
rnacentral:rRNA from 1 species